rnacentral:rRNA from 1 species
UCUGGUUGAUCCUGCCAGUAGUUAUAUGCUUGUCUCAAAGAUUAAGCCAUGCAUGUCUAAGUACACACGAAUUAAAAGUGAAACCGCAAAAGGCUCAUUAUAUCAGUUAUGGUUCCUUAGAUCGUUAACAGUUACUUGGAUAACUGUGGUAAUUCUAGAGCUAAUACAUGCAAUUAAAACAUGAACCUUAUGGGACAUGUGCUUUUAUUAGGCUAAAACCAAGCGAUCGCAAGAUCGUUAUAUUGGUUGAACUCUAGAUAACAUGCAGAUCGUAUGGUCUUGUACCGACGACAGAUCUUUCAAAUGUCUGCCCUAUCAACUUUUGAUGGUAGUAUCUAGGACUACCAUGGUUGCAACGGGUAACGGGGAAUCAGGGUUCGAUUCCGGAGAGGGAGCCUGAGAAACGGCUACCACAUCUAAGGAAGGCAGCAGGCGCGUAAAUUACCCACUCCCAGCUCGGGGAGGUAGUGACGAAAAAUAACAAUACAGGACUCAUAUCCGAGGCCCUGUAAUUGGAAUGAGUACACUUUAAAUCCUUUAACAAGGACCAAUUGGAGGGCAAGUCUGGUGCCAGCAGCCGCGGUAAUUCCAGCUCCAAUAGCGUAUAUAAAAGUUGUUGCGGUUAAAACGUUCGUAGUUGAACUUGUGCUUCAUACGGGUAGUACAACUUACAAUUGUGGUUAGUACUAUACCUUUAUGUAUGUAAGCGUAUUACCGGUGGAGUUCUUUUAUAAGAUUAGACACUUGAAUGAUCUCAUAUGUUCCUCCGUUCUAAAAACCGGCACUAGAAAUCAAUAACAGAAAGGAAACGGCUAAAUUAUUUCAAUUUUUCUCAAAUUUCAGGGAAUCCAAGGGGCUUCUUAUAAAAUAACACACUGCAAAUGGGAUAAUUCAAUAAUUUUUCGCGAACUCUCCUAUGUGUUUUUCGCUCAAGAGGUCGUGUCCGAUUAAGUCGAUUCAAGUGCAAUUCUAGUCCGCCGCGGGAGGCUACGCUUUUGGUGUGAGUGAGUGAGUGAGACCACGAUUCAUAGGCCUAUUUUAUGUUUGGCAUAUUCUGCAUGGAAAAAUGGAUAUACGAACGCUGCACAGUGGCAAAUCCACGCCCCUCC